CCGUGAAUACCGUUCCCGGGUCUUGUACACCACCCGCCCGUCAAGCCAUGAAAGUCGCCAAUACCUGACGUACUAACUUGCUUAGUCCUAAGGGUAGGGGAGAUGAUUGGGGUU
rnacentral:rRNA from 1 species